UAUAAUACUUCACCAGUCAGCUACAGGGAGACUCCCUUCUCUAGAUCUUAACAGUAGCUGUUGCUGGGUCACACGCUCAUCCUGCUCUGUUCCUUAAUGGUAGUAUGUGAAAUUAUGGUGUUUCAAAACCUCACAAUCAUACAGAACAAUGAAACAACAAAAUGAACACAGAACCCAUCUCCCCAGAGAGAACACAAAGAGGAGUCAGAUGGUGGAGAUUCAUGAAGAGAAAAGAUGCCAGAGCAUGCUAUAUCUGGCUCACAGGAAAAACUAGAACUCUCCCUGCCAGUUAUUCCGUCCCUUACCAAUCUUGGCUAAGGAGGCCAGCAGGAUCCAGAGGGUGAUCUCAAAGGGGAUCUGCACGUGGGGGUAAUCCAAGGUGAAGACGUGCAGCCUGGUCUCCUCGAAAGGGGUCCCACUUGGUGCCGCCUGCAGGAUUUCCGCUCUGGGAGUAGGACUGAUACCCAUCAUUGCAGCCGACUCGGGCAACCCAGUUUCCAAGAGGGUGGAAAUGACGCCAAGCUGCAGGAGCCAAGCCAGCAGCAGCAGCGAGGGAGCGAGUCCAAGGACCAACCGGGGACACCCACCUGCCUGAUAAUGGCUGCAAUGCCGCUCGAGGCCCCGGCCUGUGGGUCCAGCCGGUGCAUCGUCAUCGUGUGUCACCCCCCCUCAUGGUGUCACCUGCGUGCGGCCCGCACCACCCGCACCCCCUUAGUGAUGCCCCUGUAUUUUAACCCAUAGGUUAAACAUAUUGUUAUUUAUUUCUGUUGUCUGAGUGGACAGUGAAAUGUGA